AUUGAACGCUGGCGGCAGGCCUAACACAUGCAAGUCGAGCGGAUGAAGGGAGCUUGCUCCUGGAUUCAGCGGCGGACGGGUGAGUAAUGCCUAGGAAUCUGCCUGGUAGUGGGGGAUAACGUCCGGAAACGGGCGCUAAUACCGCAUACGUCCUGAGGGAGAAAGUGGGGGAUCUUCGGACCUCACGCUAUCAGAUGAGCCUAGGUCGGAUUAGCUAGUUGGUGGGGUAAAGGCCUACCAAGGCGACGAUCCGUAACUGGUCUGAGAGGAUGAUCAGUCACACUAGAACUGAGACACGGUCCAUACUCCUACGGGAGGCAGCAGUGGGGAAUAUUGGACAAUGGGCGAAAGCCUGAUCCAGCCAUGCCGCGUGUGUGAAGAAGGUCUUCGGAUUGUAAAGCACUUUAAGUUGGGAGGAAGGGCAGUAAGUUAAUACCUUGCUGUUUUGACGUUACCAACAGAAUAAGCACCGGCUAACUUCGUG
rnacentral:rRNA from 1 species